rnacentral:lncRNA from 1 species
GUAAUCAUAAACCAGAAGCCGUUCAUCUCUCGCCUGAAAAUAAGCUCUAAGCGGCACCAAAUUUGGGUGGCGCAGCCCACCCACCACCUCCAUAUGUCUCUCAAACAUCUCCUUCGUAGUCCCAACCAAUCUCCCUACAUCUAACCUCUUCACACAAACAAUCACCCCGGUUUCCACCUCCGCUUUAUACGUAACUCCCAAACACCCUCUCCCCAGCAUCUCCGCAUUCGCUCUCAUCAACUGUUCUACAGUGUAGACCUGUGUUUCGCCACUACAAAACACUAGUUUCCCACUCUUUCCCUUAUCUAUUCCUUGCUGCAGCUUCCUCACCUUCUCUUCCAGCUCCUCCGUCUCCUCCAUCCUCUUCACUAACUCCGCCGCGUCCGCCGCUGCAGCGUCUGUUACCGCCGCCACCUCCAUCAUGUCACUCGUUGACAUGAUAUCGUUUAGACUGCUGGAGGCGGUGGCAGCACUGAAAACGACGGCGUUUUAGUGGAAGAUUUGCCGAAAAACGGUGUGAUGGAGCUGCAUUCGGUACGGACAAUCUGACCGCAAAGUCCAGCGUUAGGCGAAAAGGACGACGUGCUGAAUUUACUUAAAGUAGGAGUUACUGGAACUGGACCGGUUAAAGCGUUGAACGAUACGUUGAAGAUGUUGAGAUAUGUCUGGUUGAGCGGUGGAAUUGAACCGAUAAGUCGAUUAGAAUCGAGACGAAGGUAGGUUAAUCUGGAUAGAUUUGUAAUAUCAACAGGAAUGAUGCCGGAUAAGAUGUUGUGUGAGAGAUCUAGUGUUCGUAGACGAUGAAGAGAGGCGAUUGAAGGCGGAAUUACGCCGCUAAAGAAGUUGUAGUUUAGAAACAGAAUUUUGAGGUUCACAAGUCCGGAGAGGUCAGGAAUUGGUCCGGAAAGCGAGUUGUUGUAAAGGCUCAGAACGCGUAAUUGGUGGAGACGAGUUAAUGUGUCAGGUGCGAAAACGCCAGUCAGACUUAGGUUUUCGAGGAGGAAGCGAACCACAGUACCGUCUGACUGGCAGUGUACUCCCUGCCAUUGGCAGGGAGUACUGUUAGCGUUAACGGUAUAGUGAAGCUUGUUGUGGAUAUCGGCUUUUAAUACGAAUGCUAAAAUGGAUAAAGCGUCGGUUUCCGGUGGGGAAGCGAGGUUGAAUGGGAUGUAGGAGAGGAAGAGAAUGGUGGUAAGAAUGUAGGUUGGUCUCAUGUUAAGAUAAAAAAUGGGACAAUUGUUAAUGAUCAAGUGAAAGGUUUUGGAUAACAAAUAGCAAAAAGAGCCAUUGUGAGUGUGUAUAAGCAUGUGCUUUAAUUUAUUGUGUGUAAACUGUAAAUGUAAAGUGCAUGUUACCUUAUAAUUGU